AUCCAGAUGAAGAGUACCUAACAGGACGAAAUGCACAUCCUGGAU
rnacentral:hammerhead_ribozyme from 1 species